UAGGGCGCAUGAAGGGACGGGCUCAUGGCGCUACUCGAGCGCUCAGACCCUGCGUAUCUCGGACCACCGCCGUAGGGAGCGGGAUUCCUCUGUAACAGAACCGGUGAAAUACAGGAGAUGGCUGCGGUGGAUGAACCUGCGCACAGUUGGUUUGUAGCCUAUUAGCAGGUGUUCUCAGCAAAUCUACAGAUAUGUAAAAAAAGAAGGGGGAAGAGGGGCCCAAGCAAAACCAUACCUGCUUAUUGGUUUUGAGUUUUUCAGGAAACUGAUUUGUGUCACAUAGGAAGCGCUGUUAGGGGAAAAAGAAAUACUUUGAAACCAGCUAUUUUUCCAACAUACUUCUAAGCAUCUCGUGAGGAAUUCUGUGGAGAUAGAGCAGGUAAUUCACAUGACAUGACUGACACAAUAAAUACUUAUAGUAAUCCCCUCAAAAUUCUCAGUUCCACUGCCAACACUUUUGUCAUGCCCGUCCUACCUCCUGGAUUCUGGUAUCAGCCCUUCCAUGCAUAUGCAUGCACUGUUCUAUGUAUGGCAGCUCACUGACAGUGAAGAGCACUCUGUAAAUUCACCAUACAAGUUUAAAAUCGUAGUAUUUUUCACAUUAUAACUGCAUUCAGCACCCUAACAUUAAAAAAACAAACAAACAAAAAAACAA